CACAGCCCAUUUUAUUACUUUGAUACUCAAUGGCACCUCGAGUAAAUGCCAUUUAAGAUGUGUCACUUACUAUUUUUUCUUCACUUCUCAUUACAGGUUCCAAAUAGGACUGAGAGGUGCAGUGACAAAGUACUGCAAGUAAGGCAAUCCUUGUAGUAUCGUGGCUUAAAAUGAUGAACAAGAAACAUAUUUAUUUCCAGCAGCUAAGUGUUAGCUCACAGAGAAACAGAUGAAUCUAUUGCUACACAAUGACAUCAUUCACUCCCAGCAGCCAUGAGAGCACAGCUGGUCAUGGAGAUGUGGAAUAUUAGACAUGGAUUAAACAGUUUUGCUGCCAUGCAAAAGAGAAUUGGCUCAGACAGAGAUGGCAUAUCUUUAUGUUUGCAGUUGUAAUCUGAUGGACAUUAAUUUAAACAGCAUUAGAAAGAAUAUUAUUCUUCAGAACAUCCCAUCCACAAGACUGAUAAAUGGAAUAUCAUCAUCAAUGGAAUAUAUGAU